ACAUACGGAUAAGCCAUCAAAGUG
rnacentral:siRNA from 1 species